AAUAUUGCACAAUGGGCGAAAGCCUGAUCCAGCCACGCCGCGUGAGUGAUGAAGGCCUUCGGGUCGUAAAGCUCUGUGGGGAGGGACGAACCGCCGGUGGUUAAUACCCAUCGGCAUGACGGUACCUCCUUAGCAAGCACCGGCUAACUUCGUGCCAGCAGCCGCGGUAAUACGAAGGGUGCAAACGUUGCUCGGAAUCAUUGGGCGUAAAGCGCACGUAGGCGGCUUUGCAAGUCUGACGUGAAAUCCCUCAGCUCAACUGAGGAAGUGCAUCGGAAACUGCAAGGCUUGAGUACUGAAGAGGAUCGCGGAAUUCCCGGUGUAGAGGUGAAAUUCGUAGAUAUCGGGAGGAACACCAGUGGCGAAGGCGGCGAUCUGGGCAGAUACUGACGCUGAGGUGCGAAAGCGUGGGGAGCAAAC
rnacentral:rRNA from 1 species